rnacentral:rRNA from 1 species
AGAGUUUGAUCAUGGCUCAGGACGAACGCUAGCGGCGUGCCUAAGGUAUGCAAGUCGAGCGGGAGCCUUCGGGCUCUAGCGGCGAACGGUCGAGUAACACGUAGACAACCUGCCUCCGAGUGGGGGAUAACUGCGGGAAACUGCAGCUAAUACCGCAUGUGGCCGGGAAGGGCUUCCUUCCCCGGCUAAAGGAGCAAUUCGCUCGGAGAUGGGUCUGCGGCCUAUCAGCUAGUUGGCGAGGUAACGGCUCACCAAGGCGACGACGGGUAGCCGGUCUGAGAGGAUGAUCAGCCACACUGGGACUGAGACACGGCCCAGACUCCUACGGGAGGCAGCAGUGGGGAAUAUUGGACAAUGGGCGAAAGCCUGAUCCAGCAACGCCGCGUGAGGGAUGACGGCCUUCGGGUUGUAAACCUCUUUCAGCUCCGACGAAGCGCAAGUGACGGUAGGAGCAGAAGAAGCACCGGCCAACUACGUGCCAGCAGCCGCGGUAAUACGUAGGGGGCGAGCGUUGUCCGGAAUUAUUGGGCGUAAAGAGCGUGUAGGCGGUUCGGUAAGUCUGCUGUGAAAUCUCUGAGCUCAACUCAGAACGGUCAAGUGAUACUGUCGUGCUAGAGUGCGGAAGGGGCAACUGGAAUUCUUGGUGUAGCGGUGAAAUGCGUAGAUAUCAAGAGGAACACCUGCGGCGAAGGCGGGUUGCUGGGCCGACACUGACGCUGAGGCGCGAAAGCUAGGGGAGCGAACGGGAUUAGAUACCCCAGUAGUCC